GACAGAGGGUGCAAACGUUUGUUCGGAAUUACUGGGCGUAAAGCGAGUGUAGGCGGUUCGAUAAGUCGGAUGUGAAAGCCCCGGGCUCAACCCGGGAAGUGCACUCGAUACUGUCGAGCUAGAGUAUCGGAGAGGUUGGUGGAAUUCUCGGUGUAGAGGUGAAAUUCGUAGAUAUCGAGAGGAACACCGGUGGCGAAGGCGGCCAACUGGACGAAUACUGACGCUGAGACUCGAAAGCGUGGGGAGCGAACAGG
rnacentral:rRNA from 1 species